rnacentral:pre_miRNA from 1 species
AGGUCUUGCUGGAGAAGCAGGGCACGUGCAACUUCCCUCUCACUCAGAGACUCUAUGCUUGUUCAAGCUGAUUUUGCACGUGCUCUCCUUUUCCAGCUUGAUU